rnacentral:rRNA from 1 species
UACGUAGGGAGCAAGCGUUGUCCGGAAUCAUUGGGCGUAAAGCGCGCGUAGGUGGUCCCGUAAGUCCGCUGUGAAAGUCAAAGGCUCAACCUUUGAAAGCCGGUGGAUACUGUGGGACUAGAGUACGGAAGAGGCGAGUGGAAUUCCCGGUGUAGCGGUGAAAUGCGCAGAUAUCGGGAGGAACACCUAUGGCGAAGGCAGGCCUCUGGGCCACUACUGACGCUGAGAAGCGAAAGCAUGGGGAGCGAACAGG